rnacentral:rRNA from 1 species
AUGGAUCACAGACUAAAGAUUGCUGUUUGGAACGUUCGCGGUCUCAACUCGCGUGCCCGGUGCGCUGCCAUUCGCUCUUUGUUGGGCACUACGGGCGCCUCCAUUUUAUGCCUACAGGAAACUAAGAUGGCUUUGAUCUACUCGUCCAUCGUGCUUGACAUCCUCGGCUCCAAGUUCGACAACUACACGUACCUCCUGGCUGAUGGCACUCGAGGCGGCAUCCUCCUCGCCUAG